UACGAAGGGUGCAAACGUUGCUCGGAAUUAUUGGGCGUAAAGCGCACGUAGGCGGCUUAGCAAGUCGGAAGUGAAAUCCCUCGGCUCAACCAAGGAAGUGCUUUCGAAACUGCUGAGCUUGAGUACGAAAGAGGAUCGCGGAAUUCCCGGUGUAGGGGUGAAAUUCGUAGAUAUCGGGAGGAACACCAGUGGCGAAGGCGGCGAUCUGGGUCGAUACUGACGCUGAGGUGCGAAAGCGUGGGGAGCAAACAGG
rnacentral:rRNA from 1 species